GGGAAAAUUGGUGGAUUUCAAGUAAUCAAGCAAUCAAAGGUGGUGAGUCCUCCGAUAAGGGCAAGGAAAGUACCCGAGGAUCGAUAGUCGGAGUAUUAUAGAAAUUCAACUCCUGAAAUAGCUGGGCAGUAUUAAAUUAACCCUGUCAUCUAUCAAAAUUUUAUUGUAUGGUGGGUAUUGCUUGUUGUAGUGGGCUGGGUCCUAUGGACUAGCAUAUUAGAGAGGCAUGGAAUUUUGACAUAUUUUACCUCGGUUGGAGAGGCGAAUAGGGUAACUCCCGAGGUAUAA